rnacentral:lncRNA from 10 species
GUGAGCCGAGAUCGCGCCAUUGCACUCCAGCCUGGGCAACAAGAGCGAAGCUCCGUCUCAAAACAAACGAACAAAAACAAAAAACAAACAAACACCAAAAAACAAUCCCUUACUGACAGGAUAGUCAGAGGUUACAAAAAAUAUUCUGCUUAUCAUCAACACCAUCACUGUCAUCAUCAUCCCAAGACAAAAUGGGUAAGAUUUUCUGCAUCUGUGUUCAUCAGGGUUGUUGGUGAAUAGUCUGUCUGUCUUUCUUUCUUUCUCUUUCUUUCUUUCUUUUCUUUCUUUCUUUCUUUCCUUUCUCUUUCUUUCUUUCCUUUCUUUCUCUUUCUUUCUUUCUUUCUUCUUUCUUUCCCUUCCUUCCUUCCUUCCUUCUUUCUUUUCUUUCUCUCCUUCUUUCUUUCCUUCUUUUUUUUUUUUUGAGACGGAGUUUUGCUCUUGUCACCCAGGCUGGAGUGCAAUGCUGUGAUCUCAGCUCACUACAACCUCCGCCUCCUGGGUUCAAGUGAUUCUCCAGCCUCAGCCUCCCGAGUAGCUGGGAUUACAGGCACCCACCACCACGCCCAGCUAAUUUUUAUAUUUUUAGUAGAGACAGGGUUUCGCUAUGUUGGCCAGGCUGCUCUUGAACUCCUGACCUUAGGUGAUCCACCCACCUCCGCCUCCCAAAGUGCUGGAUUACAGGCGUGAGCCACCGCGCCUGGCCAAUGGUUUUCUUUUCUUGGGAUAUCUCUGUCUGGCUUUGAUAUCGGUAUAAUGCUGGCAUCAUAAAAUGAGUUUGGAAAUGUUCUUUCUUCUUCAAUUUUUUCAAGGUUUGAGAAGGAUUGGUGUUAUUUCUUCUUUAAAUGUUUGGUAGAAUUCACCAGUGAAGCCCUCUAGUCCUGGGCCUUUCUUUCUUGGGAGGUUUCGGGUUAGUAACUCAAUCUUCAUGGUAGUGAUCAAAUCUUUUAUUUCUCCCUCUCUCCCUCUCUCCCUCUCUCCCUCUCCCCCUCUCCCCCUCUCCCCGUCUCCCUCUCCCUUUCCCCACGGUCUCCCUCUCCCUCUCUUUCCACGGUCUCCCUCUGAUGCCGAGCCGAAGCUGGACGGUACUGCUGCCAUCUCGGCUCACUGCAACCUCCCUGCCUGAUUCUCCUGCCUCAGCCUGCCGAGUGCCUGCGAUUGCAGGCGCGCGCCGCCACGCCUGACUGGUUUGCGUAUUUUUUUGGUGGAGACGGGGU